AUGACAUGAUGACAAAGUCCCGAGCAAGAGAAGGGCAUCUGGUGGACUUGAUCAAGUUGUUUGACUAGGUUGAGACAACCCAGACUGUUGAGUCCGAAUGAGUGCACUUGUGGAGUGCUAUCCGGUAAGCUGCCGAGGCUUAUUGUAAGCGGAUAAGAGGAAUCGAGGUCGAUCCUGCAAAAAAAAAAAAACAAAGAGAAAGAAA
rnacentral:lncRNA from 1 species